rfam:Gossypium hirsutum cultivar TM-1 unplaced genomic scaffold scaffold3291.1, whole genome shotgun sequence
UAUUAAAAAUUUCAUCUAUUUAUAUUGUUAAAAACUGACGUGGCUGACGGAAUAACCAAAUAGUACACGUGAUGUGCCACGUGUACCUCAUGUUAAUGUACAAUGACAAGCUUUUAAUAGUAAAAAUAGAUAAAAUUUUUAAUU